rnacentral:rRNA from 1 species
UACGGGGGGGGCAAGCGUUGUUCGGAAUUACUGGGCGUAAAGGGCUCGUAGGCGGCCAACUAAGUCGGAUGUGAAAUCCCCAGGCUUAACCUGGGAACUGCAUCCGAUACUGGAUGGCUUGAAUCCGGGAGAGGGAUGCAGAAUUCCAGGUGUAGCGGUGAAAUGCGUAGAUAUCUGGAGGAAUACCGAUGGCGAAGGCGGCAUCCUGGACCGGCAUUGACGCUGAUGAGCGAAAGCUAGGGGAGCAAACGGG